GGUUAAGCGACUAAGCGUACACGGUGGAUGCCCUGGCAGUCAGAGGCGAUGAAGGACGUGCUAAUCUGCGAUAAGCGUCGGUAAGGUGAUAUGAACCGUUAUAACCGGCGAUUUCCGAAUGGGGAAACCCAGUGUGAUUCGUCACACUAUCAUUAACUGAAUCCAUAGGUUAAUGAGGCGAACCGGGGGAACUGAAACAUCUAAGUACCCCGAGGAAAAGAAAUCAACCGAGAUUCCCCCAGUAGCGGCGAGCGAACGGGGAGCAGCCCAGAGCCUGAAUCAGUGUGUGUGUUAGUGGAAGCGUCUGGAAAGGCGCGCGAUACAGGGUGACAGCCCCGUACACAAAAAUGCACAUGCUGUGAGCUCGAUGAGUAGGGCGGGACACGUGGUAUCCUGUCUGAAUAUGGGGGGACCAUCCUCCAAGGCUAAAUACUCCUGACUGACCGAUAGUGAACCAGUACCGUGAGGGAAAGGCGAAAAGAACCCCGGCGAGGGGAGUGAAAAAGAACCUGAAACCGUGUACGUACAAGCAGUGGGAGCACGCUUAGGCGUGUGACUGCGUACCUUUUGUAUAAUGGGUCAGCGACUUAUAUUCUGUAGCAAGGUUAACCGAAUAGGGGAGCCGAAGGGAAACCGAGUCUUAACUGGGCGUUAAGUUGCAGGGUAUAGACCCGAAACCCGGUGAUCUAGCCAUGGGCAGGUUGAAGGUUGGGUAACACUAACUGGAGGACCGAACCGACUAAUGUUGAAAAAUUAGCGGAUGACUUGUGGCUGGGGGUGAAAGGCCAAUCAAACCGGGAGAUAGCUGGUUCUCCCCGAAAGCUAUUUAGGUAGCGCCUCGUGAAUUCAUCUCCGGGGGUAGAGCACUGUUUCGGCAAGGGGGUCAUCCCGACUUACCAACCCGAUGCAAACUGCGAAUACCGGAGAAUGUUAUCACGGGAGACACACGGCGGGUGCUAACGUCCGUCGUGAAGAGGGAAACAACCCAGACCGCCAGCUAAGGUCCCAAAGUCAUGGUUAAGUGGGAAACGAUGUGGGAAGGCCCAGACAGCCAGGAUGUUGGCUUAGAAGCAGCCAUCAUUUAAAGAAAGCGUAAUAGCUCACUGGUCGAGUCGGCCUGCGCGGAAGAUGUAACGGGGCUAAACCAUGCACCGAAGCUGCGGCAGCGACGCUGAUGCGUUGUUGGGUAGGGGAGCGUUCUGUAAGCCUGCGAAGGUGUGCUGUGAGGCAUGCUGGAGGUAUCAGAAGUGCGAAUGCUGACAUAAGUAACGAUAAAGCGGGUGAAAAGCCCGCUCGCCGGAAGACCAAGGGUUCCUGUCCAACGUUAAUCGGGGCAGGGUGAGUCGACCCCUAAGGCGAGGCCGAAAGGCGUAGUCGAUGGGAAACAGGUUAAUAUUCCUGUACUUGGUGUUACUGCGAAGGGGGGACGGAGAAGGCUAUGUUGGCCGGGCGACGGUUGUCCCGGUUUAAGCGUGUAGGCUGGUUUUCCAGGCAAAUCCGGAAAAUCAAGGCUGAGGCGUGAUGACGAGGCACU
rnacentral:rRNA from 1 species